UACAGGGGGUGCAAACGUUGCUCGGAAUCAUUGGGCGUAAAGCGCACGUAGGCGGUUCGUUAUGUCGGAUGUGAAAGCCCUUGGCUUAACCGAGGAAGUGCAUCCGAAACUGGCGAGCUAGAGUACGAAAGAGGAUCGCGGAAUUCCCGGUGUAGAGGUGAAAUUCGUAGAUAUCGGGAGGGACACCGGUGGCGAAGGCGGCGAUCUGGGUCGAUACUGACGCUGAGGUGCGAAAGCGUGGGGAGCAAACAGG
rnacentral:rRNA from 1 species